rnacentral:misc_RNA from 1 species
CUAAAGUUAUCGAAACCAAUUCUUGUAUCGACACCUUAAGCGCAGAUUCUGGGCUGCUUGCAAUAUGGCUGACAUCUGGAAUCUGGGGAGUCUAAGGUUCUAACUACAGUUCCCUAUUCGCUACAGACAUUCAGAACAUAAUGGCAAUGCCCCCUGGGCAGGGGGGUGGGGGCCCAGCUAUGGGGAUGAUGAGUAAACCAAUGGUUCCUGGAGGCUCCUGGUGGAGGUAUCCUGUUCCUCCAAUGAUGCAUCAGGUUACAUCUCCUCCUCCUCACUCUAGACCUGGAGACACGUUGUCCAGAACCAACCUGUAUAUCCGGGGACUAGCUCCGCAUACUACAGACAAGGAUCUUGUUAUGCUCUGCCAAAAAUUUGGACCGAUAAGUUCGACCAAGGCUAUCCUUGACAAAGCGACUAACCGAUGCAAAGGAUAUGGAUUUGUCGACUUUGAGUCUCCCAACAGCGCCAAUGCAGCCGUGAAUGAACUUCAGCACCAGGGUUAUCAGGCCCAGAUGGCCAGACAAGCCGAGCAGGAUCCUACGAACCUGUACAUAGCCAACCUACCCCAGAAUAUCAAGGAGAAUGACCUCGAGUCCUUGUUCAAUCCUUAUGGACAGGUUAUAUCUACUCGGAUACUCAGGGACGCAAGCCAACAGAGCAGAGGAGUAGGUUUUGCCAGGAUGGAGAGUAGAGAGAAGUGUGAACAGAUAAUAUCUCUGUUCAACGGUCGACCCCUGGCCAACUCUAAUCAGGCCCUCGUGGUAAAGUUUGCUGAUGGAGGAGGGAGCAGGAGGAAGACCAAUGUAUCAAGUCCUGAUCCAACCUGGAGCGGACACGGGAGCACGGACGGAAGCGAUAACGCGUUGAGUCCUGAAUCCCGGCACAGCAAUGGCUCCGCUGUAGGAUUAGGUGGAAACCAGGGAAUGCAAACCAUCACUUAUGCUCAUCCUCGUCCUUAUCCUUUCCUCGUCCAGGGCGGAGCUGCAGCAGCUACUGGAGCUCCUUUAGUGGCUGGAGGUCAACCUACUGCCUGGGUUCCAACCAGUGGAGGUGGAUUUAUUAUACAAUCUCCUACUGCCAAUCCUAUGGAGAUGUAUCCAAUAUCUUCUCCAGGUGGAGUUGAUCCGUAUACAUGCUUGGUGUCUGGGAUGCAAGGAUUAGUUCUAGGAAACCAUGGAGCAUAUCCCGGAGCUCCUCCAAAUCUCGCUCAGGGAACACAGAUGUUUCAGAACCCGUUCGGCUACCAGAUAUUCGGGAUUCCAUCCUUCCAGGGAGGAACGGGUUCCGCUUCUCUUACACCCCUGGAACAGAACGGAGGGGGACCACCCUCCCUUCUCCCUCCUGAGGACCCAACCUGUUCCCAGCCCCCGCCCCAACCUCUUCAGGUUCAGGAAAAAGUACAGGGUGGAGAGUAGGAGGAGUGUAGAUCCAACCUGAACCAGAUGACUAGGAAGGAGACACCCAACUCUAUCUGUGAAUACAUCCAGAGCCAAAACUGUGGAUUGUGGAACCAUUGUCCAGGGUUUGGUUUAUCUAAGCCCUGUCUUAACAACAGUUUAUCCCUGAAAUCAUCCAGGAUUAAAGGAUCAACUCAUGUACUCCUCCCAACAGGAUGGAGUGGAGUAGAAAACCGUCAACUAUUUAGGGAAAAUUAAAGUUUCUGAUUUUGAUCAAUAUGCUUGAGAUGUAGAAAAAUUCUAGUUCACCACUGCACCCCAUUCCUCCAUUAUCAUCCAUUCAAUUUUAAUACCAGAUUCUAUCCUCUAUAAUAUCUAUACACAAGUGUCCACUACAGUGUGCACCAUGAACUCUUAGACUAGAUUAACGGUACAGUGAAGAACUUGAACAUUCACCUGAACAGAUUCCUGAGUUGAAUCUGAUCAAGAUUUGGUUCUAGGAACCUUGUUAACUCAGACAACUCUCAUCAUGCAUCCUACUCUUUCAUAUUGUUCUAUCCUCCAUCUUGCACCAUCUUGUCCUUUUCCAACCUCAUUCCGUUCAUCUCCAUCUCCUUCUUGCUUGAAAAUUUUAUUGAUUUGUUGUUGUAAAGUAAUGCCUUAGAUUUUCCGUGCAUGGCGGACAGUGUUUAUGUAUCUGUGCUUCUGUCAGAAGCUGAAGCAUCUCAUCCUACGAUGUUAAAAAUUUACAGUGAAAUGUUUAUAUGACGGAACCUACAAAAUUAUCUCGGGAAAUCCGUUCUCCGGAGAAUCCCAGGAUAAAUAUUUCCACCCGUCCUCACUUUCCAGAACUAGAAAAAUGUAAAAUUUAAAGUAUAUUUUAUUAUUAAUAGUUUUAUUGAAAUUCUAAUAUAUAAAAUGGCCGGGGGGAGGUUCAGUUAUAAAUUUCCUAGAAGUCUUGAAAAAGAAAGUCUGCACAAGCGCGGGAAUAGAAACCGAACCCGGCGUAAUUUGUUAAAAUGAAAUUUAAUGUUUAUUGAUUUAGUUUUUCGUAGAAGGGUUUCUGUCAAGUUUUAGUAGCAGGGUUGCUGCAAAAAAUGUUUUUUCUCUCCGACCUUAAGAUAUGUUCUUAGCUUGGGGAAUACGGUUGUGGUUUUGGUUCUUGGCUUUCAAGAGAUGGUUCGGUAGAUCAUAUUUCAUGGUUUUCCUCUUCUCUUGCUCUUCUCCGUUAUUCCCUCUAGGAACAGGUUUUCUGUCGAUUUAAAAAUAUUUGUGUGGAUGGUUUUUAGAUUGAACGCGCUCAAAUCCUCCAAACCAGCGUCAUUGUUUAGCACUCCCACACUUUGUUCUAUGUUGAUUUAAAUAGUUAUAUUUGUGAUGAAGAGAUUUCAUGUAUAAUUAAUUAGUGCUGAUAUGUCAUGAUUUUACGGAGAUUCAAUCUGUUGAAUUCAACCUUCUUCUCUUUUUAGUGUGAUAAAACCGUCCUAGGUCUAGUCCAAUAUGUCCUCUGAAGAUUAAUCAGGUCCAAGUACUCCAUCCUAUCUAAAACCAAAGGGUUGAAACCUGGAUUUUUCAAGUGUUGUCACGUGAUAUAUUCGACCGUUUUCUCCCUUGUUUAUCCUGCAGUAGUUGGUAUAAGACCUUUUUUCCUUGUUCUUUUGUAUAUGUAAAUAAGGAGGACUUAAAAUGUCGGGUUGGACAAUGGCGAACGAAAAGAUAAUUUCUAAGAGACAGGGUUCCAUGGUCCAAACCUACUCCGGGUUAAUCUCUGAAUUGUAAAUACAUGGUGAUGGGAAUCCCAGACCAGGGAUGGAGUACACGGACCCACUGUGAUAUAAAUAUAUAUAGGUAUUGGACUAGCUCUAGGUGGUGGAAUGAGUACAGUCAGAAAGAUGUUUAUUUUUACUACAGAGGAUUCUAUCAAUAUUAUUUGUUAUGAAAGAAAUGAAAGUAUACACCAGUGAAUAUAUAGUUUAUUAGAAUAAAGCAAUGUUAUUUUCAUAAAA